rnacentral:rRNA from 1 species
CCUACGGGGGGCUGCAGUGAGGAAUAUUGGUCAAUGGACGAGAGUCUGAACCAGCCAAGUAGCGUGAAGGAAGACGGUCCUAUGGAUUGUAAACCUCUUUAGGCGGGGAGCAAUGCCGGGCACGCGUGCCCGGAGGGAGAGUACCCGCAGAAUAAGCAUCGGCUAACUCCGUGCGAGCAGCCGCGGUAAUACGGAGGAUGCGAGCGUUAUCCGGCUUUAUGGGGUUUAAAGGGUGCGUAGGCGGAUUUUUAAGUCAGCGGUAAAAUGUCCGGGCUCAACCCGGGCCGGCCGUUGAAACUGGGGAUCUUGAGUGGGCGAGAAGUAUGCGGAAUGCGUGGUGUAGCGGUGAAAUGCAUAGAUAUCACGCAGAACUCCGAUUGCGAAGGCAGCAUACCGGCGCCCGACUGACGCUGAGGCACGAAAGCGUGGGGAUCGAACAGGAUUAGAUACCCUUGUAGUC